rnacentral:sRNA from 1 species
GGCGUCGCCUUUUCCCCUCAGCACAGAGGAGAGGUGACGAAUGCCACUUGGUCUCUGCAGCGUCUGUAGAGGGAAGUCUGUAAGCGGGAGUGUCAACCCCAAUUGGCAGAUUCUCUGACACUUCAAGUCUGCAAAGGAAAAGCAGGUACGACUCCUUUAUCUUGGACAGUCAUCUUAUAAUGCAGGCCUGUGGGACACAAAGGAGACCAGGGAGGUUAUGUGAGCUCUGCCAAAUCUAUUACUACUCCAGGGGAAAAUAAAAUCAAAUUCUUGGGCUAGUGGAAUUACUGUAGGAGAAAUCCAGCAUGAUUCCAUGUGAAGAACCAAUAGCACCCUUAAAUUAAAGCCAGAUCUGCCAGUGAGCCUCAGGCUUUAGGAACUGAAGAGGUCAUAAAAUUGCUGUUAUGUAUGUGAAAACGGCCAAAUAUACCAUCGACCCCAGAUUAGGAUCAGUCUGGUGCCUCUGAAAAUGUGAAUUGAGAAGAACUGAAAGAAAAUCUUUCCCUGGGGAGACUGCAGCCGAAACACCCUUCUGACGAAUGUGCUGACCUAAUCUAAGCCUCAAUUUCCUUCAACAAGGGAUGCAUCGCUCACUUCCCUUGAGCUGUGAGAAUGAAACAAGAUAAUGCGUUAAAGCCCUUGGCCCAGUUCCUGGCAUGUGGCGAGCUCUUGGUCCAUAAGCAAAUCUUCGUAUUAGUUGUUUCUGAAAGAUCUAUCCAGCACUCCGAUGGCCAGCAACAACACCGCCAGCAUAGCACAAGCCAGGAAGCUGGUAGAGCAGCUUAAGAUGGAAGCCAAUAUCGACAGGAUAAAGGAAGUUCACUGACCCCUGGUCUACAGCGAUGGUUCUCAGCUCAUCUGUGCGUUCCCAACACCCAGAGAGCUCUAUAAAAGGACCAAUUACCGAACCACACCCAAACCAAUUAAAUUAGAAUCUCCUGGGGUAUGAUUCAGGCAUCAGUAUUUUUUAAAAAGAAUUUUUCAGUUCAUUCCGAUGUAUAGCCAAGGUUGAGAACCACUGUCCUAUGGGAAGGAGUUUACUUCUGCUAAGUCUCAUCAGGUGUCCAAGGCAGCUGCAGAUUUGAUGGCCUACUGUGAAGCACAUGCCAAGGAAGACCCCCUCCUGACCCCUGUUCCGGCUUCAGAAAACCCGUUUAGGGAGAAGAAGUUUUUCUGUGCCAUCCUUUAAGUCUUUGAGAGGGGCCUGAAGAGCCUCCGGGCUCCUGGGACAUUGAUGUAGAGUUUUUAGCAAAGUGGGCACCUUUCUAGUCCACGGCAUUUGAAGAGAGCGAGGAGAACCAUUCUGGAAACUCCAGGCUAUGCAUGUUUAAAGAUCUGGUCCCCUUUAUGAGAACGCAAGCCGAUCCACAUCCUGAGUUAAGAGAUCUGAUUCUGACGAACUGCCUGGAGGAGGGGAAUAUAUAAAAAUAAAAUUGGUGUCACUUCUUUUCUGCUAUCCCCCAGUCCCCCCCCAAAAUCCUCAUGUUUCUGCUUCAUAUUUUAAAAAAUAACAAUUAAAACAGACAGCUGUACUGAGGUAA